rnacentral:rRNA from 1 species
GACGUAGGGCGCGAGCGUUGUCCGGAAUUAUUGGGCGUAAAGAGCGUGUAGGCGGUCCGGUAAGUCAGCUGUGAAAGUCAAGGGCUCAACCCUUGAAAGCCGGUUGAUACUGUCGGGCUAGAGUCCGGAAGAGGCGAGUGGAAUUCCCGGUGUAGCGGUGAAAUGCGCAGAUAUCGGGAGGAACACCAAUGGCGAAGGCAGCUCGCUGGGACGUUACUGACGCUGAGACGCGAAAGCGUGGGGAGCAAACAGG